rnacentral:miRNA from 1 species
CAGCACAACUCCAGCUCACCAG